rnacentral:rRNA from 1 species
UACGGAAGGCAGCAGGGGGGAAUAUUGCACAAUGGGCGCAAGCCUGAUGCAGCCAUGCCGCGUGUAUGAAGAAGGCCUUCGGGUUGUAAAGUACUUUCAGUCGUGAGGAAGGUGUUAAGGUUAAUAACCUUAGCAAUUGACGUUAGCGACAGAAGAAGCACCGGCUAACUCCGUGCCAGCAGCCGCGGUAAUACGGAGGGUGCGAGCGUUAAUCGGAAUUACUGGGCGUAAAGGGCACGCAGGCGGUUAAUUAAGUUGGAUGUGAAAUCCCCGGGCUUAACCUGGGAAUGGCAUUCAAGACUGGUUAGCUAGAGUCUUGUAGAGGGGGUAGAAUUCCAUGUGUAGCGGUGAAAUGCGUAGAGAUGUGGAGGAAUACCGGUGGCGAAGGCGGGCCCCUGGACAAAGACUGACGCUCAUGUGCGAAAGCGUGGGGAGCAAACAGGGAUUAGAUACC